AUUGAACGCUGGCGGCAGGCCUAGCACAUGCAAGUCGAACGGUAGCACAGAGAGCUUGCUCUCGGGUGACGAGUGGCGGACGGGUGAGUAACGUCUGGGAAACUGCCCGAUGGAGGGGGAUAACUACUGGAAACGGUAGCUAAUACCGCAUAACGUCGCAAGACCAAAGUGGGGGACCUUCGGGCCCCACACCAUCGGAUGUGCCCAGAUGGGAUUAGCUAGUAGGUGGGGUAAUGGCUCACCUAGGCGACGAUCCCUAGCUGGUCUGAGAGGAUGACCAGCCACACUGGAACUGAGACACGGUCCAGACUCCUACGGGAGGCAGCAGUGGGGAAUAUUGCACAAUGGGCGCAAGCCUGAUGCAGCCAUGCCGCGUGUAUGAAGAAGGCCUUCGGGUUGUAAAGUACUUUCAGCGGGGAGGAAGGCGGUGAAGUUAAUAGCUUCACCGAUUGACGUUACCCGCAGAAGAAGCACCGGCUAACUCCGUGCCAGCAGCCGCCGUAA
rnacentral:rRNA from 1 species